rnacentral:rRNA from 1 species
UACGUAGGGUGCGAGCGUUAAUCGGAAUUACUGGGCGUAAAGCGUGCGUAGGCGGUUCGUUAAGUUCGUUGUGAAAGCCCCGGGCUCAACCUGGGAAUGGCAAUGGAAACUGGCGGGCUGGAGUAUGGCAGAGGGGGGUGGAAUUCCGCGUGUAGCAGUGAAAUGCGUAGAGAUGCGGAGGAACACCGAUGGCGAAGGCAGCCCCCUGGGCCUGCACUGACGCUCAUGCACGAAAGCGUGGGGAGCAAACAGG